rnacentral:rRNA from 1 species
UACGUAGGGUGCGAGCGUUGUCCGGAAUUAUUGGGCGUAAAAGAGCUCGUAGGCGGCUUGUCACGUCGGGGUGUGAAAGCCCGGGGGCUUAACCCCCGGGUCUGCAUUCGAUACGGGCAGGCUAGAGUGUGGUAGGGGAGAUCGGAAUUCCUGGUGUAGCGGUGAAAUGCGCAGAUAUCAGGAGGAACACCGGUGGCGAAGGCGGAUCUCUGGGCCAUUACUGACGCUGAGGAGCGAAAGCGUGGGGAGCAAACAGG